UGUUCUGUCUUCUAUUGAAGAUCUUCACCAGUUCAUAUCUCAUCUUCCUUGCAGCUGGCUAAGUUUUUAGCAAGGUUAUUUCACCAGAAUCAGAUAUACAAAACCUUCCACGGUCGUCUUAGCAGCGUCACUGUUUUUCUCCAGCAGACCCUUCCUCACGCCUAUUUUCUAAUUCUUGCUUUCUUCAGCCACUCUCCUGCCUGUCCUGUUCCAGAGAGUUCUUCCACAGCAGAGCUGCAGGCCUCCUGGCUUUCAGCCAUGCUCCUGGUGCUCCUCUCGGUGCUGGGGGUUCACUUUCUCCUGAGAGACUCCAGAGCACAGUCAGUGACUCAGCCUGAAGCUCGCCUCACUGUCACUGAAGAAUCCUCUGUGCAGUUGAGAUGCAACUAUUCCUAUAGUGGAACGCCUUAUCUGUUCUGGUAUGUCCAGUACCCACGGCAGGAGCUCCAGAUGCUCCUCAAGUAUUAUUCAGGAGACCCCGUGGUUCUCGGCUUGAGUGGCUUUGAGGCUGAGUUUAGCAAGAGCGACUCUUCCUUCCACCUGAAGAAAGCCUCUGUGCACCUGAGCGACUCGGCUGUGUACUUCUGUGCUCUGAGUGCACAGUGUGUGGGGCUGCAGGGGGAGCUGAACAUAAACACCCAUGGCAGUGGAGAGCUCAACUAA